ACUUUAUUUAUUUUUGAGAGAGGGACACAUAUAGCCCAGGCUAGCCUCAAAAUUGUCACAUAGUAGAGGGUGACCUUGAACUUCUGAUCCUUCUGUCUCAACUACCCAAGAUAGAGUCCAGGGCUUCCUGCACUCCACCCAUUGAAUUAUAGAUCUCCAGCUUUCAGGCUUUUAUUUAAUGGAAGAUCUAGAAGGUGUCCAACUCAUAUGACCAUUUAGGUAUUUAUAGGAUACUUAAUGAAGAGACAGUAAAGCUAUUGGGUUAGGUAUAGAAUUCUAAAUAAGAACAUAAGAGUUAGCUUUGGCUAUCCUUUUCAUUAGAUACAAAUUAUUUGCAUUCUAACCAGCCAGAAUUCUAUAAAUUCAUCUUAUAGACUUGGUAAAUAAAUUAGUUAAUAGAACGUAAUCAAAAGUUUAAACUAAGUACCACACUGAAAAGUGCCUACUAUUUUGUUUUUGCUUAUUUUCAAGUGUUGGGUAAUUUUCUUAAAUUAAAUGAACACAGUGUGCAUGUGUUUGUGUGAGUUUAGCAAAAUUACUAGUGUCAACUUGAAAAUGAAAGGCUUGUUCAUUUCUGCAGCACUUACACUAAAAUUGGAACAAUACAUAAAAUGAGUGAGUUUAAUUUGAUUUAAUGGAAGUUGUUUUAAAAACUAAAACAAAACAAAAUGCUGGGUGUGGUGGCACACUUUAAUCCCAACACCUUGGAGGCAGCAGCAGGCAGAUCUCUGUGGGUUUGAGACCAGCCUGGUCUACAUAGCAAGUUCCAGGCCAGCCAGAGCUACAUAAUGAGACACUGUCACAAACAAACAAACAGUGAGAGAGGGGGAAGAGAAGGAGGAGGAGGAGGAGGAGCCCCUAUGGUGGAAGGAGAAAACCAACUCCUACAAGGUGUCCUGGGAACACGGCAGGCAUGCACGCGCGCGCACACACACCCACACAAAUAAAUAAUUAAAAGUUAAGAAUAUAGUGUUAAUUUCUAGUUUUCUUUAAUAAAAAUAUCAAGUAUUCAUUUUACUACGUAAAACACAGGUUCAAAAAUGCAUUUCUGAGAAGUAAUUUUGGAAGUAGAAAGGAAUUUUUUGUUUGCUUUUUAGUUAAAAAAGAAAAGUUUUUGUUUGUUUGUUGUUUUUGUUUGUUUGUUUGUUGUUUUUGUUUGUUUGUUUUGGUGCUGCAGAUUGGCCGGUGGGCAGGCUGAGUCUACCUACCACUGAUGAGCAUACCCAGCCUUUUCUUUACCUUUAAAAAGAAAGCUUCACCUAGUGCAUGCAUCUAAGAAUGUACAGAGUUAGAAGCAGGGUGAAGUGACACUGCUAAUGGAUAAUAUAUGGAUUGUUAACAUUACUGCUAAAUUAUGUAUCAUCCCUAAAAGAGCCAGGAACUUUAUAAAUGCCUUUACCACUACUCUCUAAGAACAGUGCAGCUCUCACAUUACAUGGGAGCAACAGAAGAGCAUGCACUUGUAAAUGCAGCACACUGCCUUUGUGUUUAAAUGCUCUGGGAACUUUUUGCAUGUGCUGUUUGAUAUUUUCCUGAGAUAAAUCAACACUUUUCAUAUAAAAAUUUGCUUUUAGAUCAGUUAAUCAGGGUUUUGAGUCUCCCAUGUUAUUAUUACUAUUAUUGAUAGCUUUUUUGUAUGGUUUUAUCAGGCUAGACUUGGAAAAGAAAAUACUGUCUUAUCGAUAUUUUUAAACAUAACAGAGAGCUAGCAAGAGUUCCUGGGUAUAAUUUGAUUUGGGUUAAAUAUUGACCUCCUACUCUGUGACAGUUUGAUCUUAAUGAUGUGAGAAAAUGUCUGGGAUAAUUAAUAGAGUAUGAUAAGGUAAAAGAAGGUUAAGAAAUGCAUUUGUAGAUUCUGAAAGCUCCAGAUGUUUUGCAUCAUAACACUGCUUCUUGGUGUUCAUUUUAGAAGAUACAUUGGAUCCUCUCUCUCUCUCUCUCUCUCUCUCUCAAGAUUUAUUUGUUUUUUAUGUAUAUGAGUGCACUGCAGCUGCCUUCAGGCACACCAGAAGAGGGCAUCAGAUUCCAUUACAGAUGGUUGUGAGCCACCAUGUGGUUGCUAGGAUUUGAACUCAGGACCUCUAGAAGAUCAGUCAGUGCUCUUAACCACUGAGCCAUCUCUCUAACCUAGAUCUUUUCUCUCCAGAAGAUUUGUAGGGUGAUUUGAGAAAAGAAAGUUGGUGUCACUGAUAUAUAAUCAAGUCAAAAAGGCAUCUUUGAGGAAGCUAAGUUCUGGAGAUUAUAGGUAACGGUGUUACUGAGUGCCUCUUAUGUGUCAGCAGUAGUGUGGGUAUUGAAGCUCUAGGAAGGGUCCUGCUGCCAUAAAGCUUGCCUUCUAAGUAACUGUGGUAGGGCAGUCUGAGAGGCAAAUUAGCAAGCAGUUCUGAAAGAUCAUACGAAUUAACAAAAUACAGCAGAAGAGAAAGUAGGCAGUGGCUUGUCUUCUGAGUCAGGAGAAAGAGAGCAGAUGCAGAUUAUAUGGAGAUCAAGUUAAGGUUUUCACCAGAGAACAGGAAGUCCUGGAGGGUCAUCAUUCUUGUAGCAAAGCAAUUAGAUUAACCUGGACAUACCAGGGUUUGGGAAAGAUUACACUUGUAGGUGAAGUCCGGUAAUGAGAUAUGCAGGAGGCGUGAGGUGAUGCCAAGGUGAGGUGAUGCCAAGGAUGGAGGCAGGGCUGCACUGCAGCCCCAGUAUUUCCAGAACCACAGCCUCUAGGCCUGCCAACCAUGGCACUGUCGAUGGCCUUGAAAGGGCUGAAGGAGGAGGAAAAGAGCCCCUCAUCCAGCUCUCCAUCAAGGCGGGCAGAUGGAGAAAGCAUAGGACACCACCCCCUUUCACAGGGGUGCUUCAUGAUUCUUAGGCUCAAAGGAGCCAUGUUUAGUGUCACAACCACUGGAUUCAAAAGGAAACCUGUGAACCUGCAGAGCUUGACUCCAGGAAUCCACACACCAUUUAUAACUUUCAACAGUGAGGUCAAAACAGAUGUAAAUAAGAUUGAGGAAUCUCUUGAACAAGUCUUAUCCAGCCUACCCCACCAAGUACUUAAAUCUUUCACCAAAACCCCCAGAGUCAAACACGGCUGGAACGUCUUGUCAGUUUCUCUGCUUAUAUCAAGACCUCAAGGCCAGAGGCUAAUGAACCACUGGAGAGGGGGCUCCUAAAAAUGCUGCAGGAACUAGAGGAGCUGAGUUCCCCCCUCUCUCAUGACGUUGGUGAGAACAGCAAGGAGGACAUGGAGCUUUCCACAUGUAGAUUUCUGGACGGCAAUGAGAUGAUAUUAGUGGACUGCCUGGCACCUGCAGCCAAGCACCUUGUCUAGGUGGUGGCCAGCAAAUCCCACCACUUUGAUAUUCUAAAGGACUGACGGCAUCUGGAGAUCCUGAAGAACAUAGGAGGGCGUUCCUCGUAGGGAUGAGUUCACAGGCCCACUGUUAAGGAAGUGGGGAUAGAAUACGGCCACGUCACCAAGAAGACUUAGAAAUUAAACUACUUUUCAGAGAGAUGCCAUCAGUUUCCUUAAGAAAAUGCUUUCGUAACAGACUGCUCUCCCUCCUCUAAAGUAGAAGUGUAUUUUGUGUGAACAUGCAGUCACUCAAGACUUGGUUUAAGAACAAACAAAGUAUAGUAAUCUCCAGUACACACUCCUAAGCAGCAGCAUUCUAAUAUCCUUUAUCUGGCCCACCCUGCCCAUCUCCUGUCCUCUAUUCGGAGACAUUCUGCUAUAAGCUCCUCCUCACCUGAGAGGCAGUGUGCUGUCACUCUGGUGCCCCAACUAUCACAGCCAUUCCCUGUGUGUAGGUGGCAGAACUUGAGGUGGAGUGUUAAACAUUAGAAUUUUAGCCAUGGCCUGAGUGCACCCCCACACCGAUGUAUAGUGCAUAGUCCAAGGAAUAUUUAUUCAUUCAGGGAGAGUUGUGAUACUGAGUAAGGAAUGUGGAAGAACUGCUACUGUGUGUGGGGCGCACUGUUUCAGGUCAGUGGGUCCCAGAAGGUGGUGAAGGGUGUUGCUAUCUGAGAAGACUACCGUCCGGUCCGCAGAGACUGCUGGUGUUUUGAUAGAUACUUAAUUUUGCCUAAAACAUGGAUCUCUCUUAUACAUUGUAACAUCCAAUACUAUCUAGAAACUGAAAGACUCGGGGCUGGGAAGGUGGGUGGGUUCUCGGUAAUUGGGUGUAUGGGUUUUCAUCCAGGCCAUUCAUACAUUUGCAACAGUUACAGCCUUAGUUGUGACAAACUUUCUCUUCUCUCUCUCCCUCCCCCUCUUUUUUUUCUGUGGUGCUUGGGAAUCUCAACUUUGUGCAGUUCUGACAAGCUUCUCUGUCCCUAGGCUGUACCAAGCCCCACCUUGCUCAGUGUAAUUCUUUUUCUGAGUGGUAACCAUGUAUCUUUCUGCCUUUGAGCAGCACUACAGAAGCUGACGGGAAGCUGUAGCAGCCCAGUGACUAGAAUGUAAAAUCUGCUACAGAAAUUAACCUGGGGGAUGCCUCAUGACCUCAUUAAACUGUCAAGUAUACUU
rnacentral:lncRNA from 1 species